UACGUAGGGUGCGAGCGUUUAAUCGGAAUUACUGGGCGUAAAGCGUGCGUAGGCGGCGCGGUAAGUCGGGUGUGAAAUCUUGGAGCUUAACUCCGAAACUGCAUUCGAUACUGCCGUGCUUGAGGACUGGAGAGGAGACUGGAAUUUACGGUGUAGCGGUGAAAUGCGUAGAUAUCGUAAGGAAGACCAGUGGCGAAGGCGGGUCUCUGGACAGUUCCUGACGCUGAGGCACGAAGGCCAGGGGAGCAAACGGG
rnacentral:rRNA from 1 species